rnacentral:rRNA from 1 species
UACAGAGGGGGCAAGCGUUGUUCGGAAUUACUGGGCGUAAAGGGCGCGUAGGCGGCCUGUUAAGUCGAACGUGAAAUCCCCGGGCUCAACCCGGGAACUGCGUCCGAUACUGGCAGGCUCGAAUCCGGGAGAGGGAUGCGGAAUUCCAGGUGUAGCGGUGAAAUGCGCAGAUAUCAGGAGGAACACCGGUGGCGAAGGCGGAUCUCUGGGCCGAUACUGACGCUGAGGAGCGAAAGCGUGGGGAGCGAACAGG